GAUGAACGCUGGCGGCGUGCCUAAUACAUGCAAGUCGAGCGAACAGACGAGGGGCUUGCUCCUCUGACGUUAGCGGCGGACGGGUGAGUAACACGUGGAUAACCUACCUAUAAGACUGGGAUAACUUCGGGAAACCGGAGCUAAUACCGGAUAAUAUAUUGAACCGCAUGGUUCAAUAGUGAAAGACGGUUUUGCUGUCACUUAUAGAUGGAUCCGCGCCGCAUUAGCUAGUUGGUAAGGUAACGGCUUACCAAGGCGACGAUGCGUAGCCGAACUGAGAGGGGGAUCGGCCACACUGGAGCUGAGACACGGUCCAGACUCCUACGGGAGGCAGCAGUAGGGAAUCUGCCGCAAUGGGCGAAAGCCUGACGGAGCAACGCCGCGUGAGUGAUGAAGGUCUUCGGAUCGUAAAACUCUGUUAUGAGGGAAGAACAAAUGUGUAAGUAACUAUGCACGUCUUGACGGUACCUAAUCAGAAAGCCACGGCUAACUACGUG
rnacentral:rRNA from 1 species